UAAAGUGGCGUACGGGUGAGUAACACGUGGAUCAUAUACCUUUUAGUGGGGAAUAACUUUGGGAAACCGAAGCUAAUACCGCAUAAGCCCGGGAGGGGAAAGCAGCAAUGCGCUGAAAGAGUAGUCCGCGGCUGAUUAGCUAGUUGGUGAGGUAAUGGCUCACCAAGGCUUUGAUCGGUAGCCGGCCUGAGAGGGCUCACGGCCACACUGGCACUGAAACACGGGCCAG
rnacentral:rRNA from 1 species